GCUACAGGACCAGACCAGUCUUCUCCGGAUUUGAAAAAUUAUUACAGCCACGAAGCAAUGGCUGCCACAAAUUAAUUUGGGGACCGUGGCUCUGGUCGUAAUUUCUCACGGAUGAAUGUCAUCGACUUGAACACCUACUACUCAAGAGCUCUACUGAAGACUUCCAUCAUCACCACUACCUUCGUCACUGCUUUAUUAUGGACCUAAAUGACUGGCUAUUUGUUGAGAUCCUUCUGGUGUUUCGGAAAAUAAAGGGCAAUAGUGCGGACCGAAUGCAGGUUCUCUGACGGAUAGAGCGAGAACGUCCACGCUAAGUUUACAAAGGUUUUGCAAUUCGACCAGGAUCAUCCUAUUCGCCAGUCAUGUUCUUAUUGUCAAUUGUCUAGUUUUUUCAGUUUAUUUUGUAAAUUAAAAUAAUUUUUAUAACA